CCAGCCUGAAAGCAACACUCGGCUGUAAUUCAGUGUGAUGGGCAGCGGGUAUAUCUCUGACUAGAGUCGUAGCCUUUGGAGCCAAAGGAACCUAACUCCCAACUCUUGUGGCCUAUUCCCCACCUUUACACAUGGGAAAGCAGCCCCGCAGGGCUGAGCAAUGUCCGCGAAAUCAUGUACUUAGCACCCCGGAACCUGGCUCCGUCGCAACUAGGCGAGACACAAGCCUGAACUGGGCCUUGUGCUCUGUACUCUGGUACUCGGCCAGACCUGUGCCGUUUAACCAGGGCUUCCAGUCACCAAGACCGAGUCCCCCGCAACCCCUAGGAAUGUGCCCUCAUCUGGAUUAAGAAAGAAAGAGAGGGAAGAAAGUCGAGAAAGAUAGGAAAACACCAGAAAAAAAGACAAGGGGGGAGGAAAAAGAAAUGAAAGCAUGUCAUAGUUGUAAUUCCCCACUUUUCAGGUUCAAUUUUCUAAAAUUUCUAGAAAACAGCAGAAGAGUUCAUAGAAUCUUCUCUGGAAGAAGAGACCUGGCUUUUUAUUUCUUUUUCUUGCCUUAUUCUUCGGCUCAGAUCUAUGGCACGUUAUUGAAUAGAAAUAGCAAAAGAGGACACCCCUGCCUUGUUUCUGAUCUUACUGGGAAUGUUUUCAAUACUCCACCUAGAUGCUCUCUUGCCGUCCCAGGACCCCACCCAGGACCCCGCGUGACAUUUAGUCAUCACCUCCCCUCAGCCUCCUCUGGGCUGUGAGGUUUCCUCAGACGUUCCCUGCUUUUGAUGACCUUGGCAGUUGA